UGAAAGGCGAAACGUAAUGUGAAUCGCAACUAACAGUGAAUCAUCGAAUCUUUGAACGCAGGCCGCACCUUGCACUAUCACUCUGUGUUAUUGCAAGGUAUCUACGUAUGAGUGUCAGCCCAAUAUCCUUUUGGUUUAAGAGAUGAUUUAUUUGGAAUAUUAUAUAUUCUUUGAAUAUUUCACUCUUGAAUACAUAUAUAUAUUACUUUUAUAUAUGUCUGGCCUCAUAUGUGGAAGGUUACCCGCUGGAUUUAA
rnacentral:misc_RNA from 1 species